UUAAGGCGGCUGGUGUCCAGUAAAUUUUUGGUGUUUAAAAUAAACUUGAAUUAAUUAAAUUGUAUAGUGUUAUAUAUUUAUAAAUAUCAAUAAUUGUAUGCGAGGUAAAAGUAAUUUGAUUAAUUAAUUAGGUAGAGUGAUAUUAAUUUAAAUGUGUGAAUUUCUGCUCUGCUGAUUUUUGUCUAUUGUCAGUGCUAUGGGGUACCGAUUCAUGAUUAUUGGAAGGAAAAUAUAUCGAGUAAAAAUUUUUAACAAAGGACGAAAUGAGAGACGAAAUUGAAAUAAACAAACGACAUGUUUUGUUGGUGACAUGUGGUCGGCGCGGUCUAACUCUACUAAACCUUCCAAUGAUUCAAGAUCAACGAACCUCGAGAGCUCUCAGAUCCCUGGUAUAAGCUACCAGUGAACAAAGAAGAUCGUCGAUUAUCGAAUGAAAAUCAUCGUGUUAGUUGAAAUGAAAAUCGUUAAAUUGUAUAAUGGGAUGCAUCACUCAACAUUUUGAAUCAGUUAAUAAAUCUACACAGAAGAGAAGAUUGAACAAAGUUUUGUAACCUAUAUUUCCAUCAGCUCUAUAUACAUUACAAGUUUACUAUCAAAAAUUUUAUUUGAAGACAAUUUAUACUUCAGUGAGAAGUUUCGGAGGAAGUUAUUUUAAUGCUUAAAUUUUUUUAAACCUGACUAAGACCUGGGACAUUCACAAGUCGACAAAACUGGACAUUAUUUAUGAUCUCAUCCAGUAAAGCAUUUCUGAUAAUUGCGUAAGCAAUUUUUUUUGCAAGUAUGUGUGGGUGCGUAAGAGGAUCUUAUAUACAGGGCUUUCAUAUAUAUUUUAUGAAAUAUGGCAGAAAAUAUAUUUUAUUCAUAUUAGAAAAAUUUAUAUGGAAACAUAUAAUGAUUAAUAUACUUUCGUUAUAAUAAAUACGUAUAAUAUAAAAUUUAUGAAAAAUUAUAUAAUAUAUAUUCGCUACAUACGUG